GGAGUUAGCCGGUGCUUCUUCUGUGAGUGAUGUCCUUCCUGCCGGUUAUUGACCCGCAGGCCUUCUUCCUCACUGAAAGUGCUUUACAACCCGAAGGCCUUCUUCACACACGCGGCAUGGCUGGAUCAGUGUUGCCCCCAUUGUCCAAUAUUCCCCACUGCUGCCUCCCGUAGGAGUCUGGGCCGUGUCUCAGUCCCAGUGUGGCUGAUCAUCCUCUCAGACCAGCUACGGAUCGUCGCCUUGGUGAGCCGUUACCUCACCAACCAGCUAAUCCGACAUAGGCUCAUCCGAUAGCGCGAGGCCCGAAGGUCCCCCGCUUUCCCCCGUAGGGCGUAUGCGGUAUUAGCCUGGGUUUCCCCAGGUUAUCCCCCACUACCGGGCAGAUUCCUAUGCAUUACUCACCCGUCCGCCGCUCGCCACCAGGGAGCAAGCUCCCCGUGCUGCCGCUCGACUUGCAUGUGUUAGGCCUGCCGCCAGCGUUCAAUCUGAACCAAGAUCAAAUUCUGA
rnacentral:rRNA from 1 species